CCCUAUGGGGUGCACCAGGCGGUUCCACAUAACAACAGAGAGAAAUGAAAGUAGGCCUGCUACGAUUUUUACAUGGAUCCCUAUUUCUUCCAACCGGAAAAAGCGGAACUCCGGAUCGAUGGUGACAGUCGUCAUGAAAUCGGUCCCAUGCGUUUGUGAGAGGGCCAACGGCCCGGCGACAUACCAGCCUGGGGCAAGCGAAGCGUCGCCCCAGGUAUGCUUUGGGAAACGAUGAAGGGCUGAAGGCCCGAAACAAGUAUUCCUAAGAAACAUCAUGGUAUCGGUCCUUCAGACCUUGUUCUUGCUGGGGCCGCUUUCCAGGGGUUUCGCUGCGCUACACCCCUGGCUGGUAUGUUGCCGGGCCUUUGGCCCUGUAUCUUCUUUUGGGCUUACUGGCGGGAGGGC
rnacentral:rRNA from 1 species